rnacentral:rRNA from 1 species
UACGAAGGGGGCUAGCGUUGUUCGGAAUCACUGGGCGUAAAGCGCACGUGGCGGAUCUUUAAGUCAGGGGUGAAAUCCCGGGGCUCAACCUCGGAACUGCCUUUGAUACUGGGGAUCUCGAGUCCGGGAGAGGUGAGUGGAAUUGCGAGUGUAGAGGUGAAAUUCGUAGAUAUUCGCAAGAACACCAGUGGCGAAGGCGGCUCACUGGCCCGGUACUGACGCUGAGGUGCGAAAGCGUGGGGAGCAAACAGG